AUGCUUGCUUCAGCAGCAUAUAUAUUAAAAUUGGAAUGAUACAGAGAAUAUUAGCGUGGGCUCUAUGCAAGGAUUACAGGCAAAUUCUCAAAGGAUUCCAUAUUAUU